rnacentral:rRNA from 1 species
ACGUAUGUCACGAGCGUUAUCCGGAUUUAUUGGGCGUAAAGCGCGUCUAGGUGGUUAUGUAAGUCUGAUGUGAAAAUGCAGGGUUCAACUCUGUAUUGCGUUGGAAACUGUAUAACUAGAGUACUGGAGAGGUAAGCGGAACUACAAGUGUAGAGGUGAAAUUCGUAGAUAUUUGUAGGAAUGCCGAUGGGGAAGCCAGCUUACUGGACAGAUACUGACGCUGAAGCGCGAAAGCGUGGGUAGCAAACAG